GGCGCGCGGACUGGGAGCUGAGCCCCGGUCCUGGCCUGGAAGCCAACUCCUGCUUCCCAGCCUCCUGGCUUAGAAAGGUUGAGGGAGCAAUGACAGGUGUCUUGAGGCUCAAAUGACUGACCAAGGCAGCAGAAGAAGCUGGCCCGGUCGCCUUAGAGCUGUUCUGGACGCAGUAGCAGCACUCACUGGGAUUUGGCUACUAUCAACGGGUGUAGCCCCAGGGACCCUAGAGCAGAGAAACAGGAGAGCGGUUUCCCCAAUGGGAGCCUCCCAAUAAGGUUCCUCUACCCUGCUUUGGAGGCAUGGAGCUGGCCCUGAUCGCCUUCUGGAAUGACUGCUUCACUGCGGCGACUGCCGGCUUGGCACUGCCCCAGAGUCUCCGCUGUCUGGCAAUCCUGGGGAAGAACUGUGCCAGGUCCCACAGACCUAGAGGUGCCGUCAGAGGGGUAGGGGAAUUGGAAACGGUGCCUUUUAGGUCGUUCUUUCAUAUUCAAGUUCCUGCAAGUCCCUCUUACACUAGAGAAGGAAGGAAGGGGUCUGAAUUCACAAGCCCGUGGUCCACACCCAGGCCCAGAUAAUUCUGUUCCAACGCUCCUCAUGCCUUCCUGGUCUCCAGCUCAGUUUCCCGAAUGAGGAAAGCCUGGAAACAAAGCCAGCUAACCACCAAGGACAGUCGAUUCUGAAUACUUCCUCUUCGAUUGAUGCCAGGUGGGGGUUGAAGGAGUCAUUUCUGCAGUGAAAGGGAAAUAAGAUUAGAGCCCAGGGUGACAUCCCGUCCCUCCCAUCCCUCCCGGGUGUACGUGACCAACGCAAACAAACAGACUGUACUUUAAGAAGUCUGGCCCCUGAGGCCAGACUUGGUAGUAACGUAGGCUCUGAGAGAUUAGUGGCCCAGGACUCUCA